UACGUAGGGGGCGAGCGUUGUCCGGAAUUACUGGGCGUAAAGGGCGCGUAGGCGGCUUAAUAAGUCUGAUGUGAAAAUCCUGGGCUUAACCCAGGGCUUGCAUUAGAAACUGUUGAGCUUGAGGACAGGAGAGGAAAGCGGAAUUCCAGGUGUAGCGGUGAAAUGCGUAGAUAUCUGGAGGAACACCGGUGGCGAAGGCGGCGUUCUGGACUGUAACUGACGCUGAGGGACGAAAGCCAGGGGAGCAAACGGG
rnacentral:rRNA from 1 species